CAGUCAGUCGGGCCCAGGUGGGGAUCAGGAGGUUUCAGGAAAACACAAGCUAUGCAGUGGGGCAGGUGAGGCUUGGCCUGCCCAGCCUGUCCUGAGUGUCAUGGGAACAGCUCUGGAAGUGACUCCUCUGUCCUCUGGAAUCUGGAUCAGAUGGGGCCUUCUCCAGACAUCUGUGCUCAGCAGAUGCGACAGACGGCCCCUCGAGUGUAGCCCAGGAUCCAGCACCGGCCCAAGCAGGUGGGAGCUAAGGGGAAACCGAGGCUCACAGCGAGGAACUUGGUCAACAAGCCCAGGCCCCUCCACCCUGCCCGCGUUUCCUGCACUGCACUGGAUCAAACCGGUUUGAUCCUUGAUAAUGCCUCCGACAAAUAUUUGAUGAGGGAGGAGGCUGAGAGAGGGGCUGUGGAACAAAUCACCACAAACUGGAGGGCCGAAAACACCAGCAAUGGGCUCCCUCUUGGUUCUGGAGCCGAGAAGGCAGAAAUGAAGGCGUCAUCAGGGUUGCUCCUUCUGGGGCCUCAGAGCAGGACUCUGUUCCCUGCCCGUCCCCAGCUCCGGUGGUUGGCGGCCUUCCUCCGCCUGUGGCCCUGCACUCCAAUCGCUGCCUCUGUUGUCACUUGGCCCCCCAUGUGCCUCUGUGUCUCAGAAGGACACAAGUCAUAUUGAAUUAAGGACCCUCCCUACCCCAGCAUGACCCCGUUUUAACUUAGAACUUUCACAAUGAUCUGAUUUGCAAAGAAGGCUGGAUUCUGAGGUCCUGGGAAGGACAUGAAUUUUGGGGGAUGCUGUUCACCUCAGUACACCGGUGCAGAGUUCGGUGACACCGCCAAGUUGCUUGACGGUGAGCAGCCUGGCAUUGUAGAAAGGCAGAGGUUGACUUUAGUUUGGUCCCUGGCUUUGUCCUUUAUUUGUUCUGUGACACCUUGGACAAGUUUUGUGACCCGAGUGUCAGUUUCCUAGGAACCAGUGACAAUGAUCAGAGAUAGGGGGACUCAAGGGUAAGUAAAGUGCAGGAUGAACUGCAGCGGAGCGUGUGAGGUGCCUGGCAGGUGUCGGCCACCCAGUGGCGCUCGAAGCACCUGCUGCUCCCUCCUUCCUCGCUCCCAGCUGCCUUCUCUGCUGGGAGCUCUUUGGAGAGGAGCUGUGUGACUGGUUCAUCCUGUCCCUCGAGGAGCUACCAGUUCAGUCAAGGACAUUGAGAAGCAGCGGAUGGUGACAGUGCAGUGUGACAGUGGUGUGCUGUGGGAGCCCCAUGGAGCGGCUACCCAGGCAGGAACGUCAGGGAGGCUUCCUGGAGGAGGUGGUGCUUCAGAUGAGACUUGAAGGAGCAGAAGGUGUUUGCUAGACAAAGGGGCUUGCUUGGAUGAAUGGUCUUCAGAGCGUGGUCCCAGUAAGGAAGGAGACCACUACUACUCUUGCUGCCCUCCUCCCCCGACCUUGCCUAGUUUACAAGACAGGAGGAAAGAGAGAAAGCAAAAAGUUAGAAAAAAAAAAAAAAAAAACAGAAGUAAGAUAAAUAGCCAGAAGACCUUGGCACCACCACCUGGCCCUGGUAGUUAAAAAAAGUAAUAAUAAUAAUAUCGACCCCUGACUUAAACUACUUGUAUUAUCUGUAAAUUCCAGACAUUGUAGGAAAAAGCAUUGCAAAAUUUUCUGUUCUGUUAGCUGAUUCAUGUAGCCCCCAGUCACGUUCCCCAUGCUUGUUCGAUUUAUCAUGACCCUUUCACGUGGGCCCCUUAGAGGUGUAAGCCCUUAAAAGGGCCAAGAAUUUCUUUUUCCGGGAGCUCGGCUCUUAAGACGCAAGUCUGCUGAUGCUCCCGGCUGAAUAAACCUCUUCCUUCUUUAA
rnacentral:lncRNA from 1 species